GUAUUCCAAGGAUGAUGAAUGUAGAGGGAAAAGAUAUACACCAGUGUUCUGCUGGUUGGGUUCCAGUUUACACGGACAAGGAUCAACGACUGGCUGUUAUGUCAAUUG